rnacentral:lncRNA from 1 species
UAGAAACAUCAAUAAAAGUUUCUGAAAAACAGCAAAAAAACAACUUAAAAGUAAUAUAAUGAAUAUCAACACAUAUAAAAUAAGAUUGGUCAAAAAAUUAAAAAUAAAAGAAAAAGAAGCUGAAUGGAUAAAUCUUCACCAAAUUUGUGAGUACCGAUUUUUAGUAUUCCGAACAAUGAGUGUGGAGCUCAAAACGAGCAAACAACACCGAAAACCAAACAAGAAAAAAUUAGUAUAUCAAGAGAAAAAUAACACCUAAUAAAAAACCAAACCUCAAAAAAUUAACCAAAAAAUAAAAAAUAAAAUUAACUUGCUUUGAGGGUUUACGCUGGUGGCUUCAGGCAGCUCACGCGGCAACGAUUUCGGCCAAAGCCAGGAUGACGGCAAUGAAGGUUGAACCGGUGACGGCAGUUCUUACGGCAACGGUGCGACAGAAAUGAUGGUGGACGGUGGGAAAAGCAACAACUAACUUGAUAACAGCUUUGCCUUUCUCUAGCUCUCGCAUACAAACUAAAUACUUGGGUAGAUGGAUCUCAUUGGUUGAUUGGUGUGAGAGAGAAUGGAUUUGGUUUUAGGUGAUGAGCAAAGAAAUCGGAUGAGAGUAAUUAUGGAUUUCAUUUUUUCAAAGAGGGAAGAAAUUUUAGGGAUUUCACUUUUGAGAAAGCGAAGAAAUCAGAUUGGCGAGAGAGAGGGCCGCGGGAGGGGGGGGGGGGGGAGGGGAGAAGAAUGAGAGAAAUUUAGGGAUUUCUCAAGUUGAGAACCAACAUCUCAAGUACGCUGCACAACCAAAUUGAAGACAAAUGACACACGUUACUCUUUGGUCAUAAAAUGUUUAUCCUCCUGAGUUAGUAGAUUUGCAUCAACAACUGUCGUAACUGAGAUGAGUAGCGAAUCAUUAACCCAACACUUUAAUCUCAUUUCUCCAGAAAAAAUUUCAUCUGUGGGUUUCAAGGUAAUACAUGUUCUUUUCUAAUUUUAUGCGCAAGUAAGAAUAUCAUUUGAAAAGGAACUGUAAAUAGCUUCGCUAGUUUUGAGCAAAGUAUUUGGGUCAUUUGACAUAUAAUAAGGUCCAUUUCUCAACCUGCCAGCUUUGUUACAAUUUCUUUUGCAUUGAUUCUCUCCUCUGGUGAUUCUAUAGUACACUUCAUAGCCAAAUUGAAAACAAAUGACAUGCAUUGCUCUUUGGCCACAAAAUGUUUGUCCUCGUGACUUAAAAGAUUUGCAUCAACAACUUCCAUAAUUGAAAUAAGUAGCAAGUCAUUAACCCAACGCUUUAAUGUCAUUUCUCCUGUAAAACUUUCAUCUGUGGGUUUCUUCCGAGUAAAUGUUUCCAUCAGCAUAAUCCCAAAGCUGUAAACAUCCCCAUUUGUGGAUACUCUUCCUUCUCUUCCAUACUCUAUGGAUUGCAACAAUUUUUUAUUGAGAUAAUAUCAUUUAUAAUACUAUGCGUAAAUGAAGAUCAAAAUAAAUAAAAAACAUAUAAGAAAGUAUUAAAGAAGUUAAAAAAUUUAUUAUGUAACGAACCUGGUGCCAUAUAGCCUAUGGUGGCAAGCGUUUGUGUUUGAGUCAAAGAUUGAUCUUCUUUGAGAAAGGGCUUUGCCAUGCCAAAAUCACUCAAAUGAGCAACCAUAUUAUCAUCUAACAAUACAUUGUUGGGCUUUAAGUCACAGUGAAUUAUUGGCACUGAAUAACCAAAGUGCAGAUAUUCCAAAGCUGAUGCAACAUCUAUCAUUAUGUUCAAUCUUUGAAAAAUAUCCAAAAUGUAGUUGCUCGAAUACAAACACUUCUCCAGACUUCCAUAAGGCAUGUAUUCUAAUACCAAUGCUUUAAAAUCAUCACUUGAACAACUGCUAAUGAAUUUUAUAAUGUUUCGAUGGCGAAUACGUUUUAUCAUGCCACAUUCAAUAUCGAAACUCUUAAUUGCUCUUCCAUAUUGUAGGUCAAAAACCUUUACUGCAACCUCCAUCCCAUCUUGAAUUCUUGCCUUGUAAACAAAGCCAAAACCUCCUCUGCCGAUUAGAUUGUUUUCACUAAAUCCAUUUGUAGCUUGAAAAAGUUCUAGGUAUGUAAACCUUCUCUGAUUUGCUACUAAUGGCAUAUUAGCAUCAUUCAGCUGUGAUUUCCCUCCCUUUCAAUAUUUUAAGAUCAAUAAAAUCAGUACCAUCAUAAAUGUCGUACUAAAUGGCAAAACAAUCCCUAUGAGAAGAUCAUUUUUACUUGAUGUGUGGUGGAUUCUAGUUCUGCAUGAUCGGACUUGCAAAUUGGGCAUACCACACAAUAAUUCAUUUCCCUUGAAUGAUUCAAGUGAGAAAUUUCUAAAAGGUCCCUCUCUAGGAAUCUCUCCUUCCAGCUUAUUGAAAGAAACAUUUAUAUCUUUGAGAUCUAACAGUUUCUCCAAAGAUAUAGGAAUAAUUCCAAAGAGAUUAUUAUUGGAUAAAUUUAAGGAUUUCAAGUUUAUCAUAUCACCAAUGGAAUCAGGAAUUGAGCCUUGUAAUCUAUUAUAUUUUAAAAAGAGAUAUUGUAGAUCUUUUAGGCCGCCAAUUGUUGUUGGGAUAACAUCUGAAAAAUUAUUCAUCGACAAAUCUAUUUGUACCAGAACCUUCAAAUUUCCAAUCUCUAAUAGGAGUGGACCAGUAAAAAAAUUUAAAGACAAGUUAAGGCACAAGAUGUCCUUAAGGUUCCAUAAAGUUGAAGGAAUAGAAGUUAACUAAUUGGAGCCCAAAUAGAGAUUCCUUAGAUUAGUGCGAUUGCCAAAGCAUCCUGGGACAAAUCCAGAAAGCUUAUUGCCGCCCAACUGAAACAGUGCAGCUGAAUGACAGAUUAUCUGGGAUUGAUCCUUCCAAUUGAUUAUCUUUCAAACUCAAUAAUUGAAGCUUUUUUAAUUUUCCGAGAGCAAUCAGAAUCGAUCCAUUCAAUUUGUUUACUCCUAAAUAAAUUGCUAUCAAGUUGGUCAAGUUGUUGAUCUCUUUAGGAAUGCUGCCACUAAUGUUGGAAUUAGGCAUAUGAAAGUCUUCCAUAGAUUGAGAAAGAUUACCUAUAACCCUUGGAAGAAUGCCACCUAGUGGAUUAUUGGAGAUGCUAAAAUAUUCCAAAUACUUGCAAUUUGACGAGGAUAGAAAGCUCAAUUCUGAAGUUGAAGAUGUCAAAUAAUUAUCACCUAAAUCAAGCCACUUAAGGUUUCUUAAGUUGCCAAAUGUGUUUGGAAUAAAACCGGAGAAAGAGUUCCUUUGCAAUUCUAGUGUGGAGAGCUUAGAAGUAUUAAAGAUGAAACUAGGAAUUGUGCCACUAAAAUUAUUACCCGACAAGGAAAGUUCUUCAAGAUUUGGAAGUCGGACGUCUGCGCUUGAUGGAAGUCUUCCGAAGAAUGAGUUACUCCCAAGAUAAAGGAAUUUUAGUGUUGACACAUUGAAGAUUGUAGUUGGGACAACACCAACUAAUUUGUUAAAACUAAAUAUCAUCCAUUCCAGAUUAUGGAGAUUAUCGAUUUCAUGUGGUAUCACACAUGUAUUUGAAAAAAAAUAAUUCAAAUUUAUUUUAAAUAAUAAAUUAUACACUUGUAUAUCAUGAAAUGAGUAUUCGUAAUUAAAAUUAUUAAAUAUGAGUUUAAGAUUAAUUAUUAUAAAUAGAUAAAAUAUUAAAAAAUAUUAAAUUUUUAUUCUUAUUAAUUAAAUAUAAAUAUUGAUAAUUUCAGUAUUCAUGUCAUUAUUAAAUUAAAAAAAAUAAAAAAACCUCUCAUUUUAAUAUUAAUUUGAAUUAGUAAUAUAAUAUUUGUAUGAACAUAAGAAUUUUUUUCAAACUAAAUUUUUAGUUUAUUUUUCUAUGUGCUACUAUAGUGAAUAUAUGAAUUGAUAUCACGAUGGAAUAAUAUUGAUUUCAAGAGGUAUCUCACCUGUAUUUUAAAAUAACUAUAUUCAGAUUUUUGUCAGAGAAUAAACAAUACAUAAAAACAAACUCAAUAUUGUCACCACUCAUCCAUCAAUGCUUUAAUAUGUUUUAAGGCCUAUUUGGUAUUGAAGUUAAGUAGCUUUAGUUUUUAAGGUACAAUACUAAAAUAUUUGAUAAAUACUAACUGCUGUUGUUUGGAACCAAAAUUGAUUUGAUCCUCCACUAUAUGCAAAUAUAUAUAUAUAUAUAUAUAUAUAUAUAUAUCUUAAUAAUAUAUGGAGUGCACACUUCGGAAGAUUUAUGAUAGAAAAUCUUACUAAAAUAUCAAAUGUGUGGCGAAAAUUAAAGGCUAAGCCAAGGAAUGCUAAUAUUAAUUGUAGGCGUAAUAAUAAUGUGUGUUGUACUUCUCUAUUUUUAACUAUUAUUUUAGUAAAAUAACUUUUUUAGCCUAUUUUUCAUAUUUAUUAGCUGAAAUACCACCGAGGACCAGUUCUCAAUUUGUUCAGUUGAAAUGCUCAAACACUAAAUUAAGGUAAAAUAUCAUACUAACCUUCAAGAUAUUGUAACUUAUAAGAUUGUGCAUCAUUGAUUAAGGUAAAAUAUCGCACGAGUGGAUAUAAUAUAAACUAUAAUAAGACGCACAUUGGAGUCUGUUAAAUUGAAGAUCUAACUUUUCAAGCUUGGCCAAGUUACCGAUUUCCUUUGGUAUGGCUCCAGAGAAAUCAUUAAACCACAAAAACAAGAUUCACAAAUAACUGCAAUUUCCUAGAUCGGAGGGUAUUUCGCCGUAAAACAUAUUUUUGGACAAAUAAAUUUCUUCCAAAAAAGGAAUAUUGUUGCAAAACUUUGCAGGGAGUUCAGCAGAUAGUCUAUUGACACUGAAAUCAAGAAGGCAUUUUGAAUUUGAAAGAGGGGAAAGAACCAGAGAACUGGUUAUCAAUGAUAUCAAGUUGUUGCAGCUGAAAUAGAUGUCCAACGUAAGGAAUGGUGCCCGUUUAAGAAAUUGGUUAUUAAUAGACUAUCUGCUGUAACAUAAUUUACAAAAUUUUGCAUAAUCUCAUUCAUAGAUUUCUAACAAAUAACAAGAUAAUGCAACAUAGUGGAAAUGACCAAGAAGAGGAAGAAUCCCCAUAAGAGAAUUUAUAAUGGGAGAUGUAAAAUUACCAAGAAGAGGAAGAUUUCACAUAUGCAUGUCUUUAGGGAAGUUACCUGUCAAGCUAUUAAAUGACAAUUCCAAAUCUGAUAGAGAAGAAAGAUUGAAGAUUGAUGGAGGAAUGGUUCCAGUUAAGAAAUUAUUUUGUAGCUGUAACUUCUCUAACUCUGCAAGAUUUCCCAGCUCUUCUGGAAUUUCUCCUAAAAUUCAUGAGUAAGAUAUGCGUUAACUAUUUUAACUUAUUAACCCGGACUCAAGAAGAAAAAAAUGAAAUAGAAAUUUUUUUUGCAUAAGAGAGAUAAAAAAACAAUUUACGAAAAAAAUAAAUAUUUUUUUUGUAAAAUGACAAGAUCAGCCGUACCAAACAUACACUACGGCUAGGAUUUAAUUUAUUUUGGACUUUCCUUUUUAAAAUCAAAACACUUGUUUUCAUGCCUAAAUAAAUAUCAAAACGAAAUCGCCAUUAUCACAAAUUGUUGCUUGUUUCUGAUUUAUUCUUUUCUACUACUUAUUAUGUCACUAACUUUUAAACUUUUGGUAUAAACAUGAGCAAAGAAGAACCAUUGCCAAUUAAUUCUUAAUUCUUUUACGAAUUUAGGUUGUCGAAUUAGAUUAAAAUUGGAUGCGUUAUUCAUUGGUGCUGUGCAAUAACAAUUAACAGAUUAAGUAGACAAUAUCAAUUGAACACAAUUUCUAUUUGCAAUCGUCUGAAAUUAAUUUAACUUUACACACAUAUACAUAUUGUUCCAUCUUUCUAAUUCUCCAUCUGAUUUUGGACCCUAGAAAGACAAUUAAAAAAAUGAACAAAAAAAGAAAGAAAAGAAAAACAUCUAAUCUGCUUGAUAGAUUAUCAAAAUUUGUUGAGUGAUCUCACAAAUUAGAAUGUCAAAAUUUGUUGAGCGAUCUCACAAAUUAGAUUAUCAAAAUUUGUUGAGUGAUCUCACAAGAUAGAAGAAAAUGCAAUAGAAAAGAGAAAGAGAGAAACUAACAAAGUGAAAGAAAUAGAAGGUUUAUACUUGUUAGACGUUCGUUAAUCUUAGAGUCGUUAGUCUUAGAUUUAAUUAGGCAAUGAAACAAUGUGUUGUAAUUUUAAUAAGGAAACUCUAAAAUAAUUUAAAUCAUAGACUCAGAAAGGCAUAAACAACAUGUGUCAUUAUCUUAUACAAAAUUUAAGAAAGAUUAGAAUAUGAGAGGAUCCAAAUCCCUUUGUCUAUUAUAAUUCUCUACUUAUUCAAAGUUACUGUCAACAUUUAUUAUAAGGUUUCAAUUAAAAUGCUUAAACAAAAUUGAUUUUCAAGCAAAUAAACACCUGCUAUUCUAGGAACAAGCGCACCGUGGUCCAGGUAAAAUACUAGGAGUGAUAACUAGAAAAAUGACAUGAAUAUAAAUCACACAUACCUUGGAGUCUGUUUUCGUCAAGAUAUAAAUACUUAAGCUUGGUCGAAUUGCCGAUUUCUUUUGGUAUGUUUCCCGAGAAGUCAUUGAUCGACAAAGACAAUGUUUGUAGAUGUUUGCACCUUAAUAAAGUCGAUGGGAUUUUUCCGUCAAAGUUGUUUUCGUCUAAAAACAGGAUUUGCAAAAGAGGAAGGUUGCUGCAAAUAUUUGCGAGGAGUUCACCUGGGAGUUCACCAAAUAAUAUCUUUAUAUUCAAAAUGAAUAUUUUCUAGUAAAGAAGACUUAAAUAACAUAAAGGAAGGGAUUGGACCGGAGAGGGAUUUAUAGCUAAGAUAAAGUGUUUGAAGUGAAGAUGGUUUCCCAAGUUGAGAAGGAAUGAUGCCUCUUAAGAAAUCAUUUGUUAGCGAUGGCAUAACCAAUUAUAUAAAGAUAAACAGUGAUUUCAUGUCAAAUAUUUUAUGUUGAUGUCACAAAUGCAUAUUAUUAGAAAAGACUACCUGUCAAGUUAUUAACUGACAAAUCCAAAUUCGAUAGAGAAGAAAGAUUGAAGAUUUAUGAAGGAAUGGUUCCAGUUAAGAAAUUAUUUUGUAGCCAUAACUCCUUUAAUUCAGCAAGAUUCCCGAGCUCCUCUGGAAUUUCUCCUAAAAUCCAUGAGUAACAUAUGCGUUAAAUAUUUUAACUUAUUAACCGGCACUCAAGAAGAAAAAAAGGAACUAAAAAACGUUUUUGCGUGAAAAGAGAUAAAAAAUCAAUUUAUGAAAACAUAAAUAAAUAAAGUUUUUGUCAAAUGACGAGAUAAGCAGAACCAAACAUGCUCCAAGGCUAGAAUUUAAUCUAGUUUAGACUUUCCUUUUCAAAAUCAAAACGCUUGCUUUCAUGCCUAAAUAAACGUCUGAACUAAACCGCCAUUAUCACAAAUUGUUGCUUGUUUCUAACUUCUUCUUCUCUACUACUUAUUAUAUCACUAACUUUUAAACUUUUGCCAUAAACAUGAGCAAAGAAGAAACAUUGCAAAUUAAUUCUUAAUUCUUUUACGAAUUUAUGUCUUGGAAUUAGAUUAAAACUGGAUGUGUUAUUGUCAUUGGUAUUCUGCAAUAACAAUUGACAGAUGAAGUAGACAAUAUCAAUUGAACACAAUUUCUAUUUGCAAUCUCUGAAAAUAAUUUAACUUUUCACACUUAUAUAUAUUGUUCCAUCUUUCAAAUUCUCCAUCUGAUUUUGGACCCUAGAAAGACAAUUAAAGAAAAGAACAAAAAAAGAAAGUAAAGAAAAACAUCUAAUCUGCUUGAUAGAUUAUCAAUAGUUGUUGAGUGACCACAAAAUAGAAGAAAAUGCAAUAGAAAAGAGAAAGAGAAAAACUAACAAAGUAAAAGAAAUAGAAGGUUUGUGCUUGUUAGACGUUCGUUAAUUUUAGAGCCGUUAGUCUUAGAUUUUUAAUUACGCAAUGAAACGAUGUGUUUUAAUUUUAAUAUGGAAAGUAAAAAAUAAUUAAAUCAUAGACUUAGAAAGGCAUAAACAACAUGUGUCAGGAUCUUAUAAAAAAUUUAAGAAUUAUUAGAAUAGGAGAGGAUUGAAAUCCCUUUAUCUAUUAUAAUUCUCUGCUUAAAUACUAACAAAGAGGUUCAAAGUUACUGUCCACAUUUAUUAUAAGGUUUCCAAUUAAAAUGCUUAAACAAAAUUGAUUUUCGAGCAAAUAAACAUUUUUUAAUUUUUCUAUCGACCUUCCUGCUAUCCUAAGAACGAGCGCACAGUGGUCCAGGUAAAAUACUCGGAGUGAUAACUAAAAGAAUGACAUAAAUAUAAAUCACACAUACCUUGGAGUCUGUUUUGGUCAAGAUGUAAAUACUUAAGCUUGGUCAAAUUGCCGAUUUCUUUUGGUAUGUCUCCCGAGAAGUCAUUGAUCGACAAAGACAAUGUUUGUAGAUGUUUGCACCUUAAUAAAGUCGAUGGGAUUUUGCCGUCAAAGUUGUUUUCGUCUAGAAACAGGGUUUGCAAAAGAGGAAGGUUGCUGCAAAUAUUUGCAAGGAGUUCACCUGGGAGUUCAGCAAAUAAUAUCUUUAUAUUCAAAAUGAAUAUUUUCUAGUAAAGAAGACUUAAAUAACAUAAAGGAAGGGAUUGGACCGGAGAGGGAUUUAUAGCUAAGAUAAAGUGUUUGAAGUGAAGAUGGUUUCCCAAGUUGAGAAGGAAUGAUGCCUCUUAAGAAAUCAUUUGUUAGCGAUGGCAUAACCAAUUAUAUAAAGAUAAACAGUGAUUUCAUGACAAAUAUUUUAUGUUGAUGUCACAAAUGCAUAUUAUUAGAAAAGACUACCUGUCAAGUUAUUAACUGACAAAUCCAAAUUCGAUAGAGAAGAAAGAUUGAAGAUUGAUGAAGGAAUGGUUCCAGUUAAGAAAUUAUUUUGUAGCCACAACUCCUCUAAUUCUGCAAGAUUCCCGAGCUCCUCUGGAAUUUCUCCUAAAAUCCAUGGGUAACAUAUGCGUUAACUAUUUUAACUUAUUAUUAACCGGCACUCAAGAAGAAAAAAAUGAAAUAAAAAAAGCUUUUGCCUGAAGAGAGAGAAAAAAAUUUACUCAAUAGAAUUAAAUAAUUAUAGGCUGACAGGAUUAAUAAAUGUGAGACAUUAUUAAUUUUCAUCAAUUAAUUAAACUCAUUGAUCAUACCUUGGAGUUUGUUCCCUCGAAGAUGUAACCCAAUAAGCGUUGUCACGUUGCCAAUUUCUUUUGGUAUGGUCCCAGAAAAAUCAUUAAGCGAUAAAGAUAUGUUUCGCAGCCGUUUGCAGUUUGAUAAAGUGGAUGGUAUCUUGCCAUGAAACAUGUUACUUUUAAGAAAUAGGUAUUCCAAAUUGGAAAGGUGAUUGCAAAAAUUUGGUGGGAGUUCGCCAAAUAGUGUAUUGUUUGUAAAACGAAUAGAAAGUAAAGAAGACAUGUUGAAGAUAGAGGCCGGAAUGGAACCAGAAAACCAAUUAAAACUGAGAUCAAGUGUUUGAAGAGACGAAAGAUUCCCGAGUUCAGAAGGGAUAGUGCCCGUGAGAUUUAACCCAGAUAUAUUCAAGGCUGUGACUCUAUGAGUACGGACAUCACAAGUGACGCCCGUCCAAUUACAGACAGGGCUACUUGUGUUCCAAUUUCUAGCCAAGAAAUUGGCUGGAUCAUGAGUUACAUGACCUUUCAGGGAAAGAAGGGCUUGUUGGUCUGUGGUAAUACUUGUAGUGUUGGCUGAUGCAAUCAUGAAGGAAAGAAUCAAGUAAUGGAGUAAGAGAAAUCUGUUCAUCAUCCGGGCAGAAGACAUUCUUUCCAUGAGACUAGAAUAUUUAGAUAAAGAUAGGGUAGCAUUAUAAAGGUAAAGAUAAGAAUAUAAUAUAUUUAAUAAUAAUAGUAUAUUGAAGUACUUUUUAAAAUAUAAAAAUUAAAUGAGUAUUUAAAUCAAAAUACAAAAAGUAAACAAGCAUUUACUUGAUAAAAAAUCAUAAAAGUUGAAUGUUUCAAAAUUUUGACACCCAAUACUUAUCUAUUAAAAGAGGUCAUGAGAAUUAAAACUUAGAUGAAACAGUGCCGUAACGUUAUCACAGAGACAUGUUGAGAUUUUCCUAUUUUCAAAUUUAAAUUUGACACGCAUAAGAGAUAGGGAUGGUGAGAGUGGGACUGCCCACUUGGAAUUUAAAUUUAAUUUCACGGUCUCAUUCUCUCUCUCAUAUUUUUCGUAUUCUCUUUCAAGAAGAAUAAAUUAGCGGCCCAUUGAAUAGUGUUUAUGCGUGCUUUAUGGGUUAUAACAUUUUUGUCGAUCCUUAGCUCGACUCCAAAGUCAUGAAUUUCAAAAGUCAUAAAUUAGCCAAUGUAACAGAAGACAAUCGGGUAAUGACUAAUUAAGUAUUUAUGAUGGAGUGACACUCGCAAGUGCUUCUAAGUAUUUAUGAUGAAACCUAAAUUUCUCUCCACGUGAAAGAGAAAAAUCAGAAAAUAGAGGAGAGAAAUUAAAGCGAGAAAAGAUUCCUCUCCACGUGACAACAAACGUUGAAAUGUUUUUGCUAUUCGUUUGAUGCAACUCACAAGGGUAUGUCUAUCACGGCAAUUGGAUUCCACUGCUCAAAUAUUUUCGCGCAGUCUCUAGUGCUUCGUUUUGAUACAAAAGUGUCUCCUUGUGCCGAUGGAUGGUAAUCGUAGGAAUGAUUCUUUGUUGCGGAGUAUUUUGUGCCGAUGGAUGUUGAAUCCAUUUUUUGAAUUCAUUUGCCUAAUACUCCAACGGCUAAUGAGGUGUUACGACAUUUUGCGAAGGAUGGCAUUUAUACUGUUAAAUAAGGGUGUCUUAUGUCUUUGGCUUGGGAGAGUAUGGAUGUUGCGAAAAGUUCUAGUAGUUCUUCAAGGGAUCGGAAUAAGAUCUCGCAUUUAAAUGUUCUUUGGAAGGCCAAAUUCUUUUUGUGGCAGGGUUACAUAGUUCUGUUUCAUUUAGUUAACGGCUAUUUGAAUUGAAGAAAGGGUUUGAUGAAUACAAACAUAGGACAGUGCAGAGAUCGAAACCAAACUUUAUGUUAGUGUAAGGUGCCCAAAAUCUUUUGCAUCGCUGCACUGCUUAAUUCAAAAUGUUCUUACAAAUGCCUUUGGCGGUCGGUCACAAUUUAAUAUAUUACCCAAUGGGGUUCUGUGUCAAACUCUAUUUUGAGAUUUUUGUGUUGAACUAUUCUUCUAUGGAUAUUUGGCAAAUGGUUUUGAAGGUUUUUGACACUUUUGGAGGACUGAUCUUGAAUUCUUAUGUCAAUUGUCAUGCUUUAUAUGGGUUGAGUGGUUCUAUAGGAAUAGAUAUCAAUUGUCACACACACACAAAUACACGCACACGCUUAUAUUUGCAAUGUUGUAAAUAUUUUACAACACUGAUUUUAUGUCAGAACAAAGUUAAGUUUAUAGUUUAAUCACUACGGCUUCCAUCAAAACAAAAUCCUGAAUCUGCCGCUGACUAAGAAUGCUCGAGACUUUUUUUAUUAAAUGAGGUCCUGGGGAUAAAAUCUUAGGUGAAACAAUCCCACAGGAUCCGCACCGUCAUCAUAUAGAUGUGGUGAGAUUUUCUGAUUUUCAAAUUUAAAUUUGACAAACAUGAGAGACAAUGAUGGUGGGACUGAAAAUUUUAAUUUAAUUGGACGGUGCCAUCCCUCUCUCAUGUUUCUCAAAAUUUAAUUAAUUAAAUAGUUUAACAUAAGUUUUUUUCAACAGCAAGACAAUGUUUGUUUUAAUGUAAAGUCAGUGUAUUACGUCAAAGCGAGAAAGGAUUUGCUAUUGGUUUAAUAAUAUGGUUUGACACUAAACUGAUUUAUUAUUGUGAUAAUUGUCUUAUUUUUCUUAGUUAUUUUGCGAAUGUGAUUAAACCGAUUAAAUUGGUUCUAUUUAAUUUAGUUUAGCAUAUACAUAAAUGUAUCCCUAUAGCAAUCUCUACUGAUAAUACACUCGUAGAUUGAUCGGUCAAACUCUCGCAAAUUUGUUAAAAAACUGAAGUAACAAAAAUAAAUUAGUCCGAUCUAUUUGUUGGAUCAUAAACUUGAUCCAAGAUGAAUAAAUCAAGCCCAACUCAUGGAAGGUUCCAUGAGUAGGUAUGGUUGGUGAGGUUUGAAUUAUUUGUGUUAGGUGUGUUAGGUGUGGUUGGUGAAGUAGGUGAGUGGUAGGUUUUAAUGGAUGGUGAGAAUUUGUUUAUUAGUUGAAUAAAUGAAUGGUUGUGAUUAGUUUGUUUCAUGUAUAAAUACCCCCUCUCCCCUUUGGUUUAAACAUCAAGUGAAGUAGAAAAAUCUCUAAGGUGUAGAGAGUGAAAAAUAAGAGUUGUAAUUGGUGAGGAGUGUUGUUGAAGAAAUAAAAUAGUGUGUUUUAUGUGAGUUUUAUUUAUUAAUUCUCCAACAAAGUGGUAUCAGAGCUAGUACUUGAUUCUAUAUAUGGUCGUAUAGCAUAUCAAAUCGAAGAUCUCGACGAGAGGAACGUGAAGCCGCAAAAUUCAUCCCGAUCCGAGACCGGACGCGCCCACACUUGCCGCCGGAAUUUUUCUGUCCUGAAGCUGAGUCGACUCACCGAGUUGAACCAAGCUGAGCUGAACUGAACCAAGCGGAGCCGAGCUGAACCGAAUCAAGUGGAACCGAGCCAACUCGAGCUGAUCCAAUCCGGACCGAACCAAGACUACCAAGCCGGCGUUGACCGUUGACCGACUUUGACCGUUGACCAGCGUUGACCGUUGACAGAAAGUUGACUCGAGUCCUUCCCAAGGUUUUUCGACGUGCCGGAUCCAUCUGUGCUUUCAGAAUUUCCAAAUUCUCACUCAAUUUGUGAGUUAUGACAAACGGUGGUAUGAUGUCAUUUCAAGUUCCACAAUUAAAGGGAAGUAAGUUUGACAAUUGGAGUAUUAAAAUGAAGGCUCUAUUAGGUGCACAUGAUGUAUGGGAUGUCAUGGAGAAAGGCUUUAUUGUGCCAGAAAAUGAAGCCACUUUAACUGUGGCGCAUAAGGAGAAUUUAAAAGACUUGAAGAAAAAAGAGAAUAAAGCAAAGUAUCUCAUCUUUCAAUCAUUAAAUGAAGAUGCUUUUGAAAAGAUUGCUGGUACAACCUCCUCAAAAGAAGCAUGGGAGAAACUAGAGACCUCUUACAAAGGAGCGGAGCAAGUAAAGAAGGUUCGUCUCCAAACAUUAUGAGGAGAAUUUGAGUCCUUACAUAUGAAGGUAUCAGAGUCAAUUUCUGACUACUUUACUCGGGUUGUGACCGUUUCCAAUGAGUUAAAAAGAAAUGGCGAGGAGUUAAAAGAGGUAAGGAUCAUUGAAAAGAUACUUCGAUCAGUAGACUCGAAGUUUGACCAUAUUGUUGUGACAAUUGAAGAAACAAGAGAUUUGGAGGAUAUGACGAUCGAGCAACUUCAAGGAAGGUUACAAGCCUAUGAAGAAAAACAAAAAAAGAAGCAAGGAAUCGAAGAACAACUUCUCAAGAUGGAAGUCAAUCCAAAGAAAAGAGAAGAAAGCUCCGACAACGAGAGAAGGCACUAUGUCCGAGGUAGAGGUCGAGGACGAGGUAGAGGUUGUGGUCAUGGACGAGGUUGGAAUUUCAACAACAACAACUCCAAUUAUGCCAAAGGAGAAAGCUCAACUAGAGGACGAGGCAGAGGCAAUCCAAGAUCGAGGUAUGACAAAUCCCAAGUACAGUGCUAUAAUUGUCAAAAGUUUAGGCAUUAUGCUUCAGAAUGCAGAGCUCCAAGCACCAGAAUUGAGGAGAGAGUGAACUAUGCUGAAGAGAAAAAUGGUGAAGAUGGCACACUUUUACUAGCACGCAAUAACACAAGUGGGGGUCAAGAAAAUACAUGGUAUCUUGACACAGGUGCUAGCAAUCAUAUGAGUGGGAACAAAAGCAUGUUCGUGCAACUAAGUGAAUAUGUGAAUGGCAGUGUUGCUUUUGGAGAUGAUUCAAAAGUACCAGUGAAGGGUAAAGGUAACAUUCUUUUUCGUGCAAAAGAUGGUAGUCACCAAAUAAUUUCGAAUGUUUACUAUGUGCCCAAUAUGAAAAGCAACAUCCUUAGUUUGGGUCAACUUUUAGAAAAAGGCUAUGAUAUUCACUUAAAAGAUUAUAGUCUUUUCCUAAGAGAUGACAAAGGAAAUCUAAUUACAAAGGUGAAAAUGUCGAAGAAUAGAAUGUUUCCAUUAAAUAUUCAAAAUGAUGUUGCAAAAUGUCUCAAAGCCUGUCACAAAGAUCAAUCCUGGACUUGGCAUCUUCGAUAUGGGCAUCUCAACUUUGGAGGACUGGAGCUACUAUUUAAGAAGCACAUGGUGAAAGGCUUACCAUACAUCAAUCACCCUGAUCAACUUUGUAAAGGAUGUUUACUCGGCAAGCAGUUCAGAAAGAGCUUUCCAAAUGAGUCAAACUCAAGAGCUCAGAAGCCACUCGAGCUCAUUCAUACUGAUGUGUGCGGUCCAUUCAAGCCAAACUCCCUUGGUAAAAGUAACUACUUCCUUCUCUUCAUAGAUGAUUUUUCAAGAAAAACUUGGGUGUAUUUUUUGAAGCAAAAAUCAGAAGUCUUUGAAGCUUUCAAGAAGUUUAAAGUUGCAGUGGAAAAAGAAAGUGGAUACCAGAUUAAAGCCAUGAGAUCUGAUCGAGGUGGAGAGUUCACUUCCAAAGAAUUUUUAGAGUUUUGUGAAGCAAAUGGAAUUCGACGCCCUUUGACAGUUCCAAGAUCCCUCCAACAAAAUGGUGUUGCAGAAAGGAAGAACAGAACCAUCCUCGACAUGGCAAGAAGCAUGCUUAAGAGUAAGAGGCUACCUAAAGAAUUUUGGGUUGAAGCUGUUGCAUGUGCAGUCUACUUAUCCAAUCGAUCUCCAACAAGAAGCGUGUGGGGCAAGACGCCACAAGAAGCUUGGAGUGGAAGCAAACCCGGCAUCACCCAUCUAAGAGUUUUCGGAAGCAUUGCCCAUGUACAUGUACCAGACGAAAGUAGAGCCAAGCUGGAUGACAAAAGUGAGAAGUUCAUCUUCAUCGGCUACGACAACAACUCCAAAGGAUACAAGCUUUACAAUCCAAACAACGGGAAGAUCGUGAUCAGUCGAGAUGUAGUUUUUGAUGAAGAAGGAGAAUGAGAUUUUGGCUCUGGUGUGGAUGACUUCAACUUCUUUCCCAUUGAAGAAGAUGAUCAUACACAGAUAAAACAAGUAGACGAACAACAAGAGCCUGCUACUCCACCUAUCUCACCAGCAUCAACCAUAUGCGGAGAUUCACCGCCGUCUUUCUUAAAUGAAAGAACCGAAGAACAUACAAGGAGUCUUCAAGAUCUCUAUGAGGUAACUGAGAGACAUGAUAAUCUCACUCUUUUUUGCCUCUUUGCUGAUUGUAAGCCAGUCAACUUCCAAGAAGCUGCACUAGAUGAGAAGUGGAGAAUUGCAAUGGAUGAAGAAAUCAAAGCUAUUGUGAAGAAUGAUACUUGGGAGCUUACUACUCUUCCAAAAGGUCACAAGGCGAUCGGUGUCAAAUGGGUGAAUAAAACAAAAAGAAAUGCGAAGGGAGAAAUUGAAAGGCACAAGACGAGGCUAGUUGCAAAAGGCUAUAGUCAAAAGGCUGGCAUAGACUAUGAUGAGGUAUUUGCUCCUGUAGCUCGACUUGAAACUAUUAGACUUAUUAUUUCUUUGGCUGCUCAGAAUAAAUGGAAGAUUUUUCAAAUGGAUGUGAAGUCUGCUUUCUUGAAUGGAUUCCUUGAAGAAGAAGUUUACAUCGAACAACCAUUAGGCUAUGAAGUGAAAGGACAUGAAGACAAAGUUUUGAGAUUGAAGAAAGCUCUUUACGGGUUAAAGCAAGCACCAAGGGCAUGGAAUAGCAGAAUUGACAAGUAUUUUCAAGAGAAAGGCUUCACUAAAUGCCCAUAUGAACAUGCUCUAUACGUCAAAGAAAAAUAUGGAGAUAUUUUGAUUGUGUGCCUGUAUGUGGAUGAUCUCAUCUUCACUGGAAGUAAUUCAAGCUUGUUUGAAGAGUUCAAAAGAGUGAUGAUCAAAGAGUUCGAGAUGACUGACAUCGGACUGAUGGCAUAUUACCUCGGCAUUGAAGUCAAGCAAAAGGAAGAAGACAUAUUUAUCUCCCAAGAAAGUUAUGCAAAGGAGAUUCUCAAAAGGUUCAAGAUGAAUGAUUGCAAGCCUAUAAGCACGCCAGUGGAAUGCGGAGUCAAGUUAUCCAAAUAUGAUGAAGGCGAAGAUAUAGAUCCAACAUUCUUUAAAAGUUUGGUUGGAAGCCUACGUUAUUUGACAUGCAAAAGACCAGAUAUUCUUUAUGCUGUUGGACUUGUGAGCCGAUACAUGGAGAAUCCAAAGACCACUCAUUUUAAAGCUGCAAAAAGAAUCCUUCGCUACAUCAAAGGUACAAUUAAUUUCAGCUUGUUAUACUCAUUUUCUAAUGACUACAAGCUUAUUGGAUAUAGCGAUAGCGAUUGGGGUGGAGAUGUAGAUGAUCGAAAGAGCACAACAGGAUUUGUGUUCUUCAUGGGAGAUACUGCUUUCACAUGGAUGUCAAAGAAGCAACCAAUUGUCACUCUAUCCACCUGUGAAGCUGAAUAUGUAGCUGCCACAUCAAGUGUUUGUCAUGCAAUUUGGCUCAGAAAUUUGUUGAAGGAGUUGAGUUUGGCACAAGAAGAGCCAACCGAGAUUUGUGUUGAUAACAAAUCAGCAAUUGCCCUAUCCAAGAAUCCAGUCUUUCAUGAUCGAAGUAAACACAUAGACACUCGCUAUCAUUUCAUAAGAGAGUGUAUUGCAAGAAAAGAAGUGCAAAUCAAGUAUGUAAAAUCACAAGAUCAAGCAGCUGAUAUCUUCACUAAGCCACUCAAGCAAGAAGACUUUGUAAGAUUCAGAAGUUUGCUUGGUGUCACAAGAUCAAGUUUAAGGGGAGGUGUUGGAUCGUAAACUUGAUCCAAGAUGAAUAAAUCAAGCCCAACUCAUGGAAGGUUCUAUGAGUAGGUAUGGUUGGUGAGAUUUGAAUUAUUUGUGUUAGGUGUGUUAGGUGUGGUUGGUGAAGUAGGUGAGUGGUAGGUUUUAAUGGAUGGUGAGAAUUUGUUUAUUAGUUGAAUAAAUGAAUGGUUGUGAUUAGUUUGUUUCAUGUAUAAAUACCCCCUCUCCCCUUUGGUUUAAACAUCAAGUGAAGUAGCAAAAUCUCUAAGGUGUAGAGAGUGAAAAAUAAGAGUUGUAAUUGGUGAGGAGUGUUGUUGAAGAAAUAAAAUAGUGUGUUUUAUGUGAGUUUUAUUUAUUAAUUCUCCAACACUAUUGACUUGACAGGGCUGGAAUGCAAACAUUAGCAUGUGGGCUCAUAUUUUUUUUUUCCAGUAAAUUUUUUUAAUCUCUACAGUUUGAGUAAACAGCAAUGCAACUUAUACCACAUAGGUAAAAAUAAUUUAAGAAAAUUAAUAAUAUGAAAUAUAAGAAAAUUAAUGAUAAAAUAUGGUUAUAUUGGUUUGAAUAAGAAAAAUAUUUUCGUAUAAGAAUUCCAAUCUUAUGCAAUUUAUACCGCAGGAGGAAAAAUAUAUAAUUAAUUCAAUCCAACUUAUUCUGAUUAUUAUUAUUUUGAAUAUAUAAUAAUUAUUAUUAUAUAGAUGUGGAAAAAUAUAUAACUAAUAUUGCCAGUAUCGCAUACAGUUGCAAAGCUACAGCCUUACAUCUUAAACAACCUUCGGAUAGUUUUGACUCUUGAAUCCAAAUACUCUGCUACACUUGAGUGUAGCCAAUGAACCGUGGUCCUUCCUUAGCUAUAAUAUGAUCUUGUGAUGGUGUAUCACAUAUGCAAUUUUUGUAACGGAUAGACAACUACAUAAAUGAAUCCCUUCAUGAUAUGUUUAGAACAGAGUUUUAUACAAGGAGCCCGUAUAGUGUCGAGCUCUCAAAAGCUGUCUUUGGCUAUCAUUUGGCAGCUAAAGACCUGGUACAAUCCGUUUAUUAACCGGUUGCACAUUAUUUUAAAUUUAAAAAAUUAAAUAAAAUAAUAUAUUAAUUUAGAAAUUAUAGAAAAAAUAUUAAUAGUAAAAAACAAAUAGAAAAUAAAAGAAAGAUAUAAUGUUGUCAAAAUCAAGAAAAAAUUUAUAUAAUAAAUAAAAAAUGUUUGUUUCAUAUAUUAUAUGUGAUGUGUCAUAUUUAACAUCAAAAGUUUCUACAUGUUUUGUUAUUUUUCUCAACUUUGUUAUUCUAAAUAACCCAAAAAGUUUUUUUUCCCGCCCGUUUUAUGUUUGACGUCCUUAUUGCAUGUUUGACCCCCAUUCUUACAUCUUUCACGUGACUUGUUGCAUGUUGACAUGGUUUUCAUGUUUAACCUCAUAUAUUACAUGUUUGUCCUCACUUGUUACAUGUUUCACGUGGAUUGUUGCAUGUCUUAAAUAAAGCCAAAAAAUGAAAAUUAUCCCACGUAUUUUAUAUUUCACGCCUGCGUUGCAUGUUUGAUCUCCAUUAUUGCACCUUUUAUGUGAACUGUUACAUGUUGACGUGGUUCUCAUGUUUAGCUUUAUGUGUUGCGUGUUUGAUCUUAACUGUUGCAUGUUUUACGUGACCUUUUUACUUGUAAAUUUCAUGUUGCAUGUUUGACCUCACUUAUUGCAUGUUUCACGCGGAUUGUUGCAUGUCUUGAAUAAAGCCAAAAAAUAAAAAAUUUCCCACUCGUUUCACAUUUCACGUUCGUAUACCUCCAUUGUUGCAUCUUUCACAUGAACUAUUGCAUGUUUCUCAUCUUUAACCUCAUUUGUUUCAUGUUUGACCUUUGGUGUUGCAAGUUUUACCUGACCUUUUUACAUGUAAAUUUCAUAUUGCAUGUUUCAUGUGGAUUUUUGCAUGUUUGGAAAAAGCCAGAAAUGAAAAUUUUAUCGGCUGUUUCAUGUUUCACGUUUGUGUUACAUGUUUGAUCUUCGUGUUGCAUCUUUCACAUUAACUAUUGCAUGUUGAUGUCGUUCUCAUGUUUAACCCCAUCCGUUGCAUGUUCAACACCCCAUAUGUUCCAUGUUUUAUGUGACCCUCUUACAUGUAAAUUUCAUGUUGCAUGUUUCACAUGGAUUGUUGCAUAUCUUGAAUAAAGCCAAAAAAUGAAAAUUGUUCCACUCGUUUCAUGUUUCACGUUCAUGUUGCAUGUUUGACUUCCGUUGUUGCAUCUUUCAAGUGAAUUUUUAAUUUUUGCAUGUUGAUGUGGUUCUCAUGUUUAACCUCAUCUAUUGCAUGUUUGACAUCAGAUGUUGCAUAUUUUACAUGACUUUUUUAAAUAUAAAUUUCAUGUUAUAUGUUUGACCUCACUUGUUCCAUGUUUUACUUGAAUUGUUCCAUGUCUUGAAUAAAGAGAAAAAUUGAAAAUGGGUGAGGAAGACAAAGUAACAGUGCAUAUAAUCACGAAGUUGGCUAGCCAACUUAUUUAACAAUGAAUCUAGCGGUUAAACACUUCCACUCCAGAGACACCCAACAAUGAAAUAGUUAGCCAAUUGAUUUAACGAAGAAUGAAGCGGUUUAUCGCUUCCACUCCGGAAACACUCAACAAUUAAGUGGUUAGUCGACUAACUUAACAAGGAAUCAAGUGGUUAACUGCUUGCGUUCAAGAAAAUAGCUAACAAUGAAACAGUUAGCCAAACUGUUAAGCAACGAAUUAAGCACUUAGCCGCUUCCGGUUAACUAGUACAAUGAAUGUUUGAUGUUGAUAUUUAAUGUAUCACAUUAUCUAACACAUGUAUAAAUAUCAUGUUGCAUUUCUUCAAAUUUCUUGACAUUUCAAUUAUUUGUUUCAUAUUCUUUUUUAUUAUUAAUUAAGUUUAAUUAAGCCCCAUCUAUUAAAAAAAUAAAUGAAAAUGUUGCCUUAGUGUUAAAAUUAUUUGAUAAUUUAAGUGAUCAUUAUUACUCCAAGUAAUAAUUUAUCAUUUUAGCUAUUAUUUGUUUCAUUAUUUUGUAAUUUGUUUAAUUCUUCAAACGAAAAUAACUAUAAUGACAAUUUUAAAUUACCAAAUAACCUUCUUCUUUUUUUUAGUGCAAUUGGUAAUUUGUAAACUUUUUAUUUUAAAAAUCAAAUAAUACAUACAACACAUUAAUUAUUUUGGAUUAAUUUCAUCAGAGAUUGUAAAUGAAACCCAUAAACAAAGGCAUCUCAAACUUUGUAAUUACAAAAAAAAAAAAAAAAGCGUAAAGAAGAGAGUUGGCGGGUGCACGCCAUACGCGAAUUAAUUUUCACCAUCAUCUUCCACCAUAUGUCGUGAGCAAUGGAGGCUUUCCCUCCCCAUUACAAUUACAAAAAAGGUGUCGACCUGUGUCACACCCCCAUCCAAGAAGUGAGCUAAAAAUUAUGAAACUCCAAAGCACUGUCUAAGCAGAGCACACAAACUACUUCCAGCAUCAUCAUUAACAAAAUACUUGAAAAAAGCAAGGCAUGAGCUAUUAGCCCAUACACUUUUAAGCAUAAUGAUUCUAAUCACAUCUCAUUUAACCACGAGGCCAUGAAAACAUACUCAAAGAUUCCAAAAGAAAAUUGACAUUUAAACACAUAAGAAUCAAUCUUAAGAAUCCAUCAAUUUUGCAAUCAACCGAAAAAAAGUCAAUCUCUGAUCUAUAAGACCAAACUUCAAAGUCUAUAAUUUCAAUGAUCAAAUAACAAAUGAUGUACAAAUAAAAUUCAUGGAAAUCUAUAGAAACCUUUGGCAUUAUUUUAGACCAUGUAAUAAGGACAGGCCUUGUUCAAUAAUCCCUUUAAAUUAUUGGGUUGGUUCAAUUACUAUACAAAUUUGCAGAUAUAAUCUAGACAUGUAAAGCACCUAGAAUAUAACAUCUUAGCUCAAAUUUAGUUACAUUUAUUACUAUUUCUAUGACCCAAUGCAGAGUUACAGAAAACUGGUUUAUUGACAGGAAACGCCAACAACCUAAGCUUCUGAUUUUCUUUAAAAAUUCAAUACUAUUCAGAAUAUUGUGAAAACUUCCAAAAUAUUAUUAGACACAACAUAUAAAAUUUUCAAGCCAUUUGGACAACUCCAUAAUUGGUUCUACUAAACAAAUCAAAACUGCCUUUUUAAUUCACACAAAAACAGCUGAGCUUUGGUGAUUUAUUAAAAUUAAAAUACUCAAUAUGUUGGGAUCAAAAUUCCCAGAACAUAAUUACACAUAUAACUUGAUAACAUAUUAAAAGUUCAAGACAUUCUGAUAUCAUUAAGCUAAUGUUUCAUAAGAUCAAACACAAGUGAAUAGUUCUGUCAAGGGGUUUACGGCUAAAGUAGUGGAAUUUGAAAAAUCAUAAAAAACAAAAGAGAACCAGAUGUUCAAUUACCAAGGAACUUUCAACAUUUAAAAUACAUUUAAAAUAGACUUAUUGAAGUUUAAUAUCUCAAAAUUUUAGCUCAUGUUGACACCAAUAGAUUAUUCGUUUAUAACACCAAACAUGGUACAUACACAGUUUUUGAUAAAUUCCAACAGCAACUGACCAAUUUGACAAAUCCAUUAAAAAUCAACUAUUAGUUCAAUUCAUUCCAAAAUGUCCAGACUUGAAAUAUACAAUCCGGCUUUUAUUACUCAAAAUUUUGAAGCGAAUCUAGCAUCAUUUAGUCAUAUUUUGAAACAAUCAAAGUUAUGAUAACAGUCCAACAAUCUUUAAAUUUUCUGCAAAAUCAAUAAACUAUUUAUUAUCUUUUCAGUUCAAUAAUCAAUUUUCUAGCAAAAUUAGACAUGCAAAACCAACAACCACCUUACUUUUCAGUUUUGAGAUAACAAAACAUCAAUUGCACCAAGUUACCUACCUAAAUCACAAGCUUUAACUUCCUGGCCUCUUAAUAAAGCUUUCUGUCACCUUUGCAAGUAUUAACUUCAGUCCUCACAUUACCAAAAAGCCUACCCAAAAUCAAAAGAAAAAAAAAUGAUAAUCAAUCACACUUCCGUUAUACAAAGUCAUAAGAGCUUAUUUAAAAAUUGAGGCGUUUCACCUCUUAACGAAUAGCUCAACUCCAAACUUCCAAUCUAUAGCACUACAUAAUUGAAACAUACCACCACGGAUCAACAAAUAACCCAAAAAAUUGCUAAGACUUUCAAUUAAAAAUAAAAGCUGGUGAUUAUAUAGCAUCAAUAUAUAGAAUUAAAUCAUCAAGCAACAGUAUAUGAUGGUGAGUCUCUAGAAACAUCAAUAAAAAUUUCUAAAAAACGGCAAAAAACAACUUAAAAGUAAUAUAAUGAAUAUCAACACAUAUAAAAUAAGAUUGGUCAAAAAAUUAAAAAUAAAAGAAAAAGAAGCUGAAUGGAUAAAUCUUUACAAAAUUUGUGAGGAGUACCGAUUUUUAGUAUUCCGAACAAUGAGUGUGGAGCUCAAAACGAGCAAACAACACCGAAAACCAAACAAGAAAAAUUAGUAUAUCAAGAGAAAAAUAACACCUAAUAAAAAACCAAAUCUCAAAAAAUUAACCCAAAAAAAAAAAACUAACUUGCUUUGAGGGUUUACGCUGGUAGCUUUAGGCAGCUCACGCGGCAACGAUUUCGGCCAAAGCCAGGAUGACGGCAAUGAAGGUUGAAGAACCGGUGACAGGCAGUUCUUACGGCAACCGUACGACAGAAAUGAUGGUGGACGGUGGGAAAAGCAACAACUGACGUGAUAACAGCUUUGCCUUUCUCUAGCUCUCGUAUACAAACUAAAUACUUGGGUAGAUGGAUCUCAUUGGUUGAUUGGUGUGAGAGAGAAUGGAUUUGGUUUUAGAUGAU